rnacentral:rRNA from 1 species
AAAUUUGAAAUCUGGCGCAAGCCCGAGUUGUAAUUUGUAGAGGAUGCUUCUGGCCAGCGGCCGUUCUAAGUUCCUUGGAACAGGACGUCAUAGAGGGUGAGAAUCCCGUAUGUGACCGGCGCGCAGCCUUUACGUAGCUCCUUCGACGAGUCGAGUUGUUUGGGAAUGCAGCUCUAAAUGGGAGGUAAAUUUCUUCUAAAGCUAAAUACCGGCCAGAGACCGAUAGCGCACAAGUAGAGUGAUCGAAAGAUGAAAAGCACUUUGGAAAGAGAGUUAAAAAGCACGUGAAAUUGUUGAAAGGGAAGCGCUUGCAACCAGACUUCGUAGCGAUGUUCCGCUGGUCUUCUGACCGGUCUACUCAUCGUCGCGAGGCCAACAUCGUCUGGGCCCGCUGGAUAAGACCGGAGGAAUGUAGCUUCCCUCGGGAAGUGUUAUAGCCUGUGGUGAUGCAGCGUGGCUCGGGCGAGGUCCGCGCUUCGGCAAGGAUGUUGGCGUAAUGGUUGUCAGCGGCCCGUCUUGAAACACGGACCAAGGAGUCUAACAUCUAUGCGAGUGUUCGGGUGUCAAACCCCUACGCGUAAUGAAAGUGAACGGAGGUGGGAAGCGCAAGCUGCACCAUCGACCGAUCCUGAUGUCCUCGGAUGGAUUUGAGUAAGAGCAUAGCUGUUGGGACCCGAAAGAUGGUGAACUAUGCCUGAAUAGGGUGAAGCCAGAGGAAACUCUGG